UACGAAGGGGGCUAGCGUUGCUCGGAAUCACUGGGCGUAAAGCGCACGUAGGCGGAUUUUUAAGUCAGGGGUGAAAUCCUGGAGCUCAACUCCAGAACUGCCUUUGAUACUGGGGAUCUCGAGUCCGGAAGAGGUGAGUGGAACUCCGAGUGUAGAGGUGAAAUUCGUAGAUAUUCGGAAGAACACCAGUGGCGAAGGCGACUUCCUGGCCUGUUCUUGACGCUGAGGCGCGAAAGCUAGGGGAGCAAACGGGG
rnacentral:rRNA from 1 species